GCCAACGUCCAUACCAUGUUGAAUACACCGGUUCUCGUCCGAUCACCGAAGUCAAGCAACAUCGGGCGUGGUCAGUAUUUGG
rfam:Bombyx mori DNA, contig: Bm_scaf32642_contig77852, strain: p50T/Dazao, build 2, whole genome shotgun sequence.